AUGAUCCACCACCUUUUCUUUGUCUGUCUAGAAUUGAGGCAUAUAUGGAAACAAAUCAUAUACUGGUUGCAGGUUACACAUGACCCUGGAGAAUGGUCGGAUGAAUUGAAGUACAUAAUGAAGACUAGCAAAGGUAAAGGCUGGAAAGCGCAAUUACUUAAGAGUGUUGCAGCGGAAACGAUUUAUGCAAUUUGGAAGUAUAGAAAUGAUACAUGA